rnacentral:lncRNA from 10 species
AUCUCAUCUUGACUUGUAAUCCCCAUAAUCCUCAUAAUUCCCACAUGUCAAGGGAGAGACCAGGUGGAGGUAAUUGAAUUCUGGGGGACCAUUUCCCCCAGGCUGUUCUCAUGAUGGUGAGUGAGUUCUCACGAGAUCUGAUGGUUUUAUAAGGGGCUUUCCACCCCUUUUCUGGGCAUUUCUCCUUCCUGCUGCCUUGUGAAAAAGGUGCCUUGCUUCCUCUUCACCUUCUGCCAUGACUGCUGAACAGGCACAGUGAAAUGUGGUUUUAUCAGAUUUCCCAAAGGACAGUCUCCAUUGAUUUGCAGGAACUUA